rnacentral:rRNA from 1 species
UUUAUUGAGAGUUUGAUCCUGGCUCAGGACGAACGCUGGCGGCGUGCCUAACACAUGCAAGUCGAGCGAUGAAGUUUCCUUCGGGAAACGGAUUAGCGGCGGACGGGUGAGUAACACGUGGGUAACCUGCCUUGUAGAGGGGAAUAGCCUUCCGAAAGGAAGAUUAAUACCGCAUAAUAUUGUA